AGCAGUAUGGUGCAUCGUGCACACGGGGUUCUCAUAAUUCCUCCGCAUAGAAGCUAUCCCCGAGGCCCUUGUUUGACUCAAGGUGCUGCUG